rnacentral:rRNA from 1 species
UACGGAGGGGGCGAGCGUUGGUCGGAAUUACUGGGCGUAAAGCGCGUGCAGGCGGGCGACUAAGUCAGGUGUGAAAGCCCGGGGCUCACCUCCGGAAGUGCGCUUGAAACUGGUCGGCUAGAGUACGGGAGAGGGAAGCGGAAUUCCUGGUGUAGCGGUGGAAUGCGCAGAUAUCAGGAGGAAUACCCAUAGCGAAGGCAGCUCGCUGGGACGUUACUGACGCUGAGGCGCGAAAGCGUGGGGAGCGAACAGG